CUGAAUGGUUACAAUUUUCCGAUUUUUUAUAUUCGGCAACGGUUUGUUUCAGAAACAUUUAUUACAAUGUUCGUAUUUAUAAAAAUAAUAUUUUUUAUAUAUCAAUAAGCAUAUACAUAUUAUCGAAAAAGUAAAGCAUGUGUUGUCAGGGUUUGUUGCGGCCGUUGAGGCCAUUUAAGGUUCUCGAAGUUUUGGGGUGGAAAGUUAGUGAAUCGGAGGAAGAGUGCCAAGAACAGCAAAGCUACCCCAUGUUACCGAAACCCAAGAAGGUGCUGAAAAAUUUUUCUGGUAAUAAAAUGGAUGUUCGUUUGUACAUGGUUUUACCAUAGCUGCAUGACUUCCAUCAAUGUAAUGAAAUGAAAUGUUGUUCGGUAUAUGUGAUGGUAUCGCUUUAUUAUAUGAAUGUAUGUAUCUGAAUGCAAUAUUUCCUUUUAAUAGCAGCCAUGACAACUUACUCCAUUGGAAUUUGAAGAAGCCAAUUGCUACAGACAAACAAAAACAGGUGUCACCAGAAAAAACAAGAAAUGGAUUUGAAAUGAAGUUGUGUAUCAAAUGCAGCUGACAGAGAACGAACAAAAGAAACCAGACAUACAUAUAGGGUGGUUGAUGUAAAUGAUGGCGGCUGGCGGCAAAAAAUAUAAAAAAGAGCGAAGAUAUAAAAGGGAAAAAAUACAAUUGAGGUGGUUUUCAAGAGAACUCGAUUUAGUUUGAAGCGAUAUUGUAUUCAAGUGUUUACAUGUUCAUUCAUAUACUCGUUAAGAGUGUAUGCGGACGGCUAUAUGCAAGUCUAAUAAAUUUGGUAGAAACAACGUUUUUAAAUCUGAACAACGUAGGAACGUUUUCAGAUCUUUCAUUACAAUAAUACAAUCAUCUUACAACCGUACAGGUUUACUAAACCCGUGCGUACAUUUACGAACAGUCUCUUGGUCAAUGCGGCAGAAGCUUACGCAAAACCACGAACAAAUGCCAACAGCGUCAACUGUUCACUACAGUUUUUGAACCCAUGCUGCGUUAGUAAUUAAAACAAAUAAAUAAUUUUAAAGGCACUCACGAUGUAAAUUCGUCGUAACAUAAUUCAUUGGCUUAGAAAAUUUCCAUACAAGUAUAUACAUAUUAUAGUUUCCGUUUACAGAAUAAUACCUUUGACAUACACGUUUUUAUAUGAUAAUACUAAAAAAUAGCUCAAUAAAUCAAUAAUAUAUGUGAAAGA